rnacentral:rRNA from 1 species
UACGGAGGUCCCAAGCGUUGUUCGGAUUUACUGGGCGUAAAGGGAGCGCAGGCGGAUAGAUUAGUCUAAAGUGGAAGCCCGGGGCUUAACCUCGGAAGGCCUUUGGAUACUGUCUAUCUUGAGUAUGUGAUGGGAAUGCGGAAUUCAGGGUGUAGCGGUGAAAUGCUUAGAUAUCCUGAGGAACACCAAUGGCGAAAGCAGCAUUCUGGCACACUACUGACGCUGAGGCUCGAAAGCGUGGGGAGCGAACGGG